rnacentral:lncRNA from 1 species
AAGCUCUUAACCACUAACAUUGAGAGUUAGGGUGAAGCUGAUGAAAGGUAAUGAGGAUUAGACCUCACGCUCUUAACCCUGGCCUGGGUGAGCUUGAAUCAAAGAAUGUGUGGGGAUCCAUAAUGAGGGACCCUAUUCCACUUUACUGACUCUAUACAAAGAUCUUGGGUUGUGUUCAAGAGCAUCAACACGUAGUGCGAGCAUAAUGAACGACUCAACGAUUAACAGGGGAUUGAUUGCUAAUCCCUUC